UAGUUGGCGCAGCCUGAUGCAGCGACGCCGCGUGAGGGAUGACGGCCUUCGGGUUGUAAACCUCUUUCAGUAGGGAAGAAGCGUAAGUGACGGUACCUGCAGAAGAAGCGCCGGCAAACUACGUGCCAGCAGCCGCGGUAAUACGUAGGGCGCAAGCGUUAUCCGGAAUUAUUGGGCGUAAAGAGCUCGUAGGCGGUUUGUCGCGUCUGCCGUGAAAGUCCGGGGCUCAACUCCGGAUCUGCGGUGGGUACGGGCAGACUAGAGUGAUGUAGGGGAGACUGGAAUUCCUGGUGUAGCGGUGAAAUGCGCAGAUAUCAGGAGGAACACCGAUGGCGAAGGCAGGUCUCUGGGCAUUAACUGACGCUGAGGAGCGAAAGCAUGGGGAGCGAACAGGAUUAGAUACCCUGGUAGUCCAUGCCGUUUUUGUUGGGCACUAGGUGUGGGGGACAUUCCACGUUUUCCGCGCCGUAGCUAACGCAUUAAGUGCCCCGCCUGGGGAGUACGGCCGCAAGGCUAAAACUCAAAGGAAUUGACGGCGGGCGGGGGCGGCGGGAC
rnacentral:rRNA from 1 species